rnacentral:rRNA from 1 species
GAUGAACGCUGGCGGCGUGCCUAAUACAUGCAAGUCGAGCGAACGGACGAGAAGCUUGCUUCUCUGAUGUUAGCGGCGGACGGGUGAGUAUCACGUGGAUAACCUACCUAUAAGACUGGGAUAACUUCGGGAAACCGGAGCUAAUACCGGAUAAUAUUUUGAACCGCAUGGUUCAAAAGUGAAAGACGGUCUUGCUGUCACUUAUAGAUGGAUCCGCGCUGCAUUAGCUAGUUGGUAAGGUAACGGCUUACCAAGGCAACGAUGCAUAGCCGACCUGAGAGGGUGAUCGGCCACACUGGAACUGAGACACGGUCCAGACUCCUACGGGAGGCAGCAGUAGGGAAUCUUCCGCAAUGGGCGAAAGCCUGACGGAGCAACGCCGCGUGAGUGAUGAAGGUCUUCGGAUCGUAAAACUCUGUUAUUAGGGAAGAACAUAUGUGUAAGUAACUGUGCACAUCUUGACGGUACCUAAUCAGAAAGCCACGGCUAACUACGUGCCAGCAGCCGCGGUAAUACGUAGGUGGCAAGCGUUAUCCGGAAUUAUUGGGCGUAAAGCGCGCGUAGGCGGUUUUUUAAGUCUGAUGUGAAAGCCCACGGCUCAACCGUGGAGGGUCAUUGGAAACUGGAAAACUUGAGUGCAGAAGAGGAAAGUGGAAUUCCAUGUGUAGCGGUGAAAUGCGCAGAGAUAUGGAGGAACACCAGUGGCGAAGGCGACUUUCUGGUCUGUAACUGACGCUGAUGUGCGAAAGCGUGGGGAUCAAACAGGAUUAGAUACCCUGGUAGUCCACGCCGUAAACGAUGAGUGCUAAGUGUUAGGGGGUUUCCGCCCCUUAGUGCUGCAGCUAACGCAUUAAGCACUCCGCCUGGGGAGUACGACCGCAAGGUUGAAACUCAAAGGAAUUGACGGGGACCCGCACAAGCGGUGGAGCAUGUGGUUUAAUUCGAAGCAACGCGAAGAACCUUACCAAAUCUUGACAUCCUUUGACAACUCUAGAGAUAGAGCCUUCCCCUUCGGGGGACAAAGUGACAGGUGGUGCAUGGUUGUCGUCAGCUUGUGUCGUGAGAUGUUGGGUUAAGUCCCGCAACGAGCGCAACCCUUAAGCUUAGUUGCCAUCAUUAAGUUGGGCACUCUAAGUUGACUGCCGGUGACAAACCGGAGGAAGGUGGGGAUGACGUCAAAUCAUCAUGCCCCUUAUGAUUUGGGCUACACACGUGCUACAAUGGACAAUACAAAGGGCAGCGAAACCGCGAGGUCAAGCAAAUCCCAUAAAGUUGUUCUCAGUUCGGAUUGUAGUCUGCAACUCGACUACAUGAAGCUGGAAUCGCUAGUAAUCGUAGAUCAGCAUGCUACGGUGAAUACGUUCCCGGGUCU